AGCUGGUCUAAUAGCACAACCAGUGACACCGUAACUCACCACACCGAUGAGAACGUUUUGACCUGUGUCCCGUUGAAAAGUCAAAGGACCACCACUGUCACCCUGAAAUAUUAGGUUGGUAGGUAAAACUACUAUUUUAAUAUCUAGCUUGAAGUAGAGUAUAGUUGAGCAACUUUAAAGGAAUUAACAGAAAAUAUGACAACCUAUCAAAAACAUCGUUUUAUGUGUUCAAGGAGCCAUCAUUGAUCUCUUUAAGAAAUGUUUUAAUGUAAAAAAAUGAUCUGUAAUGAACUUAUACGAUAAACAAUAUUCCCAGAACUUCUUCCAUUAUCUCUGAAAAAAAUAUCUUCUUUUCUACUGUUUUUUGUAGUUUGCGGAUGGGGUCCAUGGAGUCCAGAAUUCUCCGUAGACAUGAAAUCAUAGUAGUAGGGGUAGUGGAAGGGUGACUGUUACCUCUACUACACGUUCUAAAAACUUCUGGACCCCCAUAUAAAAUUUCUAAAUACGCCAUUGAUUAUUACAAGUAAUACAGAAACUUUUACUAUAAUACUUUAAUAACACUUGAAACUUUAUCGAUACUAUUAUAUUACUCAUGAAAAAGUAUUUGACAUGCUAAUUUACUUACAAAGCAUGUUCCUUGUAGAGAAGGAGCCGCUGCACAAAGCAUACCUAAUCCCACGUGAUCGCCGAUCAGCCGAGCACAUUGAAAAUUUGACAGUACUUCAACGGUAAGCUUUUGGAGUAUUGGACUAGGAUCACCCAUGGGAAAUGAAGUAAUUCCCCAUCCGAUUACUGAACUCUUUUGACCAACCAAUGAGUCUCCUGAAGUGUAUUAAAACAAAAAACCUUGGCACAAUUUUUUUUUUAAAUUUUACUCUAAAUAAAAUACGGAUUUUAAUAAUCAGUGUUAUUUUUUAUACAACAUGUUUAAAAAUGCUUAAUCACGUUUUCGUAAUUUAAAAAAAAAUUUUUUUAUUUUUUGUAGUAGAUUUAAUGAUUUCAAAUUAAACGGUGCCCAGAAAACAAAACUUUUUGUUCUGAAUAAAAAUUAUUAAAAUCUAAAGUUACAACUUUAUCAAAGUUAUUAACAAACGUUAGUUUGUUUAAAACAGUAUUAACCGAAAAUUAAACAUACUUUUGAUAUCGCGAAAUAAUUUACUUGAAAUUAAACAAUUUGAAAUGUCUUUCAUCAGUCUGGGAAUAUUUUUUUUUAUCAUUACUAGUACUAGUGAUGUAUUAUAAAAAAAAAUAAGUAAAGAACUAUUAACGUUAUAAAAUAAGUAGUUGACAUUUUACUUUUUGCUUUAAAGAGAAGUGAAUUUCUAAACAAUUUUUUUAAAAAUGAACUAUUUAGAAAAAUGUUAAAUACAAGUUUUUUAAGGAACACAUGGCAAUUUAAAAUUUAUAAUCAUUUAAAAAUUUUGAUAUAACUUGAAUUUUAUUCUAAAUUAUUUAUAAGGAGUUAUACUACCAAACGUUAUAGAAAUUACUGAAGAACAUACCUCCAUUUCCAGAAGGCAAGCACACAGGUUGCACAUUGUUAUUUAAAUUGGCGGGGAUGUUGAGUCGAAGCAGCGCAAUAUCAUUAGCCAACAGAAAUGGAUGGAAGUGUGAAUGAAAUAUAACCUGAGAAACAGAUCUUACUUGAUGUUCUGUUUCAUUGUCUGUAGUCAAGUCAUUAUCACCCAAAUGAACCAUGAGGCUGUCAAUGGGCGUGUCUCUCCUGUAUAAUAGGAUUAAUAAUACAUUUGUUAAUCAUAUAAUACUCAUAAGAUUGUAUAUUUCUCUAAUGCCAAGUUGUUGUUUUAAAGACACAAUAAAAACAGUAAACCAAUAA